UUCGAUAUGUCUGAAUGGUUAAGGAGACAGAGUCGAAAUCUGUUGGGCUUUGCCUGCGCAGGUUUGAAUCCUGCUAUCAAUG
rfam:Lupinus angustifolius cultivar Tanjil chromosome LG11, whole genome shotgun sequence.